CAGCAGCAGCCGCGGGAAUACGAAGGGUGCAAGCGUUAAUCGGAAUUACUGGGCGUAAAGCGUGCGUAGGCGGUUUGUUAAGUCUGUUGUGAAAUCCCCGGGCUCAACCUGGGAAUGGCAAUGGAUACUGGCAAGCUAGAGUGUGUCAGAGGAUGGUGGAAUUCCCGGUGUAGCGGUGAAAUGCGUAGAGAUCGGGAGGAACAUCAGUGGCGAAGGCGGCCAUCUGGGACAACACUGACGCUGAGGCACGAAAGCGUGGGGAGCAAACAGGAUUAGAUACCCCCGUAGUCCCUGUCUCUUAUAC
rnacentral:rRNA from 1 species